GAGGGUAGAGCUCAGUGGUAGAGCACAUGCUUAGCAUGCACGAGGUGCUGGGUUCAAUCCCUAGUACCUCCA
rnacentral:tRNA from 1 species